CAGAGGGUGCGAGCGUUGUUCGGAAUUAUUGGGCGUAAAGCGCGUGUAGGCGGUGGUGCAUGUCGGGUGUGAAAGCCCUCGGCUUAACCGAGGAAGUGCGCCCGAAACUGCAUCGCUGGAGUGCCGGAGAGGGUGGCGGAAUUCCCGGUGUAGAGGUGAAAUUCGUAGAUAUCGGGAGGAACACCAGUGGCGAAGGCGGCCACCUGGACGGACACUGACGCUGAGACGCGAAAGCGUGGGUAGCAAACAGGAUUAGAUACCCUGGUAGUCCACGCCGUAAACGAUGGGAACUAGCUGUAGCGGGUGUUGACCCCUGCUGUGGCGAAGCUAACGCAUUAAGUUCCCCGCCUGGGAAGUACGGCCGCAAGGUUA
rnacentral:rRNA from 1 species